UACGUAGGGUCCGAGCGUUGUCCGGAGUUACUGGGCGUAAAGCGCGCGCAGGCGGCGGUGUUGGCCCGGCGUGAAAGCCCCCGGCUCAACUGGGGAGGGUCACGCGAUACUGAUCGACUCGAAGGCAGGAGAGGGUAGUGGAAUUCCCGGUGUAGUGGUGAAAUGCGUAGAUAUCGGGAGGAACACCAGUGGCGAAGGCGACUACCUGGCCUGUUUCUUGACGCUGAGGCGCGAAAGCUAGGGGAGCAAACGGG
rnacentral:rRNA from 1 species